CCUACGGGAGGCAGCAGUGGGGAAUAUUGCACAAUGGGGGAAACCCUGAUGCAGCGACGCCGCGUGAAGGAAGAAGUAUCUCGGUAUGUAAACUUCUAUCAGCAGGGAAGAAAAUGACGGUACCUGACUAAGAAGCCCCGUCUAACUACGUGCCAGCAGCCGCGGCAAUACGGAGGGAGCAAGCGUUAUCCGGAUUUACUGGGUGUAAAGGGGGCGUAGGCGGUUUAGCAAGUCAGAAGUGAAAGCCCGGGGCUCAACUCCGGGACUGCUUUUGAAACUGUUGAACUAGAGUGCAGGCGAGGUAAGUGGAAUUCGUGGUGUAGCGGUGAAAUGCGUAGAUAUUAGGAGGAACACCGGUGGCGAAGGCAGCUUACUGGACUGUAAAUGACGCUGAGGCUCGAAAGCGUGGGGAGCAAACAGGAUUAGAUACCCUGGUAGUC
rnacentral:rRNA from 1 species